UACGGAGGGUGCAAGCGUUGUCCGGAUUUAUUGGGUUUAAAGGGUGCGUAGGCGGUUAAUUAAGUCAGUGGUGAAAUCCUGGAGCUCAACUUCAGACUGCCAUUGAUACUGGUUGACUUGAGUACAGACGAGGUUGGCGGAAUUGAUGGUGUAGCGGUGAAAUGCAUAGAUACCAUCAAGAACACCGAUUGCGAAGGCAGCUAACUAGGCUGUAACUGACGCUGAGGCACGAAAGCGUGGGGAGCAAACAGG
rnacentral:rRNA from 1 species